UGGGGAAUAUUGGACAAUGGGCGAAAGCCUGAUCCAGCCAUGCCGCGUGUGUGAAGAAGGUCUUCGGAUUGUAAAGCACUUUAAGUUGGGAGGAAGGGCAUUAACCUAAUACGUUAGUGUUUUGACGUUACCGACAGAAUAAGCACCGGCUAACUCUGUGCCAGCAGCCGCGGUAAUACAGAGGGUGCAAGCGUUAAUCGGAAUUACUGGGCGUAAAGCGCGCGUAGGUGGUUUAUUAAGUUGGAUGUGAAAUCCCCGGGCUCAACCUGGGAACUGCAUUCAAAACUGACUGACUAGAGUAUGGUAGAGGGUGGUGGAAUUUCCUGUGUAGCGGUGAAAUGCGUAGAUAUAGGAAGGAACACCAGUGGCGAAGGCGACCACCUGGACUAAUACUGACACUGAGGUGCGAAAGCGUGGGGAGCAAACA
rnacentral:rRNA from 1 species